UUAUUUUUUCUUCUUUCUUUCUCAAUAAAUUCAUUAUUGGUAUAUAGGAAAGAUAGUAAUCUUUAUGUGUUAAUUUUUGUGUCCUGAUUUAUCCCAAUCUAAGAGUUUUCUAGUAGUCACUGGGACCUUUAAAUAGAGACUGUGGUGGUUUGAAGGACAAUGCACUCUAUAGGCUCAGGUUCAUAUGGUGGAAUGCUUGCUCUUUAAUUGGUGAAACUCUUUGGGAAGGGUUAGGAGGUGUGGCCUUGUUGGAGAAGGUAUGUCACUGAAAGCACACUGCAUUCCUGUUGACUCCAAAUUGCAGUUAAGCACUCAUUGAUAAGUGGAUAUUAGCCCACAAACAUACAACACCCAAGAUACAAUUUGCAAAACACAAGAAAAUCAAGAAGAGGGAAGACCAAUGGGUGGAUACUUCGUUCCUCCUUAGAAUAGGGAACAAAAUACCCAUGAAAGGAGUUACAGAGACAAAGUUUGGAGCUAAGAUGAAAGGAUGGACCAUCCAGAGACUACAUUAUCCCAUAAUUAGCCGCCAAACCCAGACACUAUUACAUAAGCCAGCAAGAUUUUGAUGAAGGGACCCUGGUAUAGCUGUGUAGUAUGAGGCUAUGCCAGUGCUUGGCAAAUACAGAAGUGGACGCUCACAGUCAUCUAUAAGAUGGAACACAGGGUCCCCAAUGGAGAAGCUAGAGAAAGCACCCAAGGAGCUGAAGGGGUCUGCAACCCUAUAGGUGGAACAACAAUAUGAACUAACCAGUACCCUCAGAGCUCGUGUCUCUAGCUGCAUAUGCAGCCUAAUAAGCCAUCAGUGCAAAGAGAGGCCCCUUGGUAUUGCAAACUUCAUAUGCCCCAGUACAGGGGAACACCAGGGCCAAGAAGCAGGAGUGGGUGGGUAGGGGAGCAGGGCUGGGGGAGGGUAUAGGGAACUUUCAGGAUAGCAUUUGAAAUUUGAAAUGUAUAUAAAGAAAAUAUCUAAUUUUUUAAAAAAGGAUGUAUGCUUUUAGCUCCUCCUUCAGUGUCAUGCCUGCCUGCUACCUUGCCCCCAUGAUGGUCAUAGACUCAUCAUCUGGAAUUGUUACCACCCAAGUUAAGUUCAUUUUUUUUAAGUUGACUUGGUCAUGUUUUGUCAUGGCAAGAGAAGUGUAAUUAUGACAGGACCAAAUCUGAAAAUAGAGUUUAUUUGACUUCUCUUCUUUCCUAUUUAUACUUUCAUUAUUGUUUCUUUCUUUACUAUAACUAAGACUUUCAGUACUACAUAGAGUAACACUGGAAAGAAGGAACAACCUUGUAUCAUUCCUAAUUAUAGAAGUGAUUUCCUGCUUUAAGUUUCUUGUAGCUUUUAUUGUAUUAGCACACAUUCCAUCUAUUCCUAGCUUUCUUGGACUUUUAUUAUAAAUGAAUGUCAACUUUAUAUAUUUAAUUAAUCACAUUUUUUUUAUCUCAGAGCCUGUUUAUGUUCUGUUUAUACAUUUUCACAUGUCAAAACAUCCUUGUAUACCUGGAAUAAAAUCAACUGAGUUGCAAUUUUAAAAAAAAACUGUUUUCAAUAAAGAAAAAUACUGAUUUG
rnacentral:lncRNA from 1 species